AGGGGGUGGGGUGGGGGGUGGCAUCAUCCCUAUCAAUCGGCGGCGACAUGCUCUUUUUAUGUCCCGCGCUGUGAAGUUUCCGUCGGUGGGGAGCGAGCAGCCUGGGAUCAGCGGGAAGAUGGAGCUGAGAGACUCCGAGUGAGCCAGGGGCAAACGCAGGAUUUUUAAAGGCGGCGUUUCCAUAUGAUGAAGUGUUCUCUCACAGCCACUGUGACACCCCCCGUGUUCUGUCUCUGUCACUGUGUCAUUCCCACCCACCCCUGUUCUGUCCCAGUCACUGUGUCACCUCCACGCCCCCUCCCCCCCCGCACCUAUCUUCUUUCCAAGUCGCUGUGUCAAAUUCCCCCACAUUCUCUUCCAGCCACUGUGCCCCCCUCCCCUGGAAUCCCUGCAGCCAGUUCAAUGUACAGAAUAAUCUAUGCGGGUUGCGUCUGGAAUACAGACCGUCAGAAUGCCGGCAGCAGGAUACCAACAGUGAAAAUACCGGCAAUCUUUGGAGGUGAUGCAGAAGGCACAUGAGACAAAUGUUGGAGCAGUGGGAAAAACUAUUAAGAGAAAGAACAAAAAGAGAAAAAAAGAAGAAGAGUAAGACUGGAGAUGGACCUAGAAAGUCUUGUUGGAGGAGAUAAGAGUAUAGGGAUCAUCACCUGAAUUUACAGGAGAAGCAGAAGGAGGCCUCAGUUAUGAAGCAUGCUUAUGGACAGAUGGUAAACACACAUGAUCCCAUUGUCACAGGAAGAUCUUACCAGAACUGUAAAAACGAAAGCGAAUCCAUGUGGUCGUCUGAGAAACAUCCUUGGGUAUAAGGAAGUUCUUGAGGAACACCAAUCUCUUUGUGCGGAAGCAACAGUCUCAGUCAGUGCAGUAUCACUAAGAGAGAACCCCUACUUUUGUGGGUAUAAGUAAGUUUUUGAGGAACACUUUUGACCAUAA